AGAGAAUUUGCGUGAGCUGAUCUGUAGCAGUGCGGAAGGUGAGCUUGGCUGCCGGCAGCAGCUCCUUUGGCUGAUCUGCGGCGAUGCAGAAGUUGGGUUGGAAAAAAGCACGACCGGCUGCUCUGAAGUGGGUCGUAGGGAGAGCUUCGUAAGAGAUAGGGAGGGAGCUCUAUUGGCCCGUGCAUGACAUCCAACCCAAUGGCAUCAUGCCCUGGUAGGCAUGGUUGCAUGGCCACGGGGAGAAUGGAGCAAGUAGCGUGUGAGGAGUUUAAGAAAUGGGGACAAGGGACAGUUUAGUUAAUUAAGUCUAUGUUAGUUUCAAGUUUUAUCCUUGUUGCAGUAAAAAAUUAAGGUUGG